CGGCACGGUGUUUAACCAACUUCUCCACUUCAACAGGUUGCAUGAUUACAUGACUGAUCUUGCUGGGAAAUACAAGACUUACAGGCUGAUCGCCCCCUUCAGAAGUGAGGUUUACACUGCUGAUCCUGUAAAUGUUGAGUACAUACUCAAAACCAACUUCGAAAAUUAUGGCAAGGUAUCUAUUUCUUCUUACUGUGAUCUAUUUCGUCAAUAUCAGUACCGAAUGCUGGGUCCCUGUUCUUAUGAUGUGGAUUGUGUAAGAUUAGCCUGAUGAAUCAACACCCAGUUUUGAAUAUUCUCAAAAACCCUGCUAGUACCGUCGAUACUCGACGAUACAAGAAAAAAUUGGAGAAUCCAAAAUUAGGGGUUAGAAUUUGAGAAUUUGUUUUGACUGUUCACUUUUCCAUGGGGAUUUGAUUCCAAUGGCUGAAAGGGUAAUGGUUUAGGUUGCUCAAACUUUGUGCAGGGGGACCUUAAUUACAACAAUCUAAGUGGGUUACUGGGUGAUGGAAUUUUCACUGUUGACGGUGACAAAUGGCGCCAGCAAAGAAAGGUUUCGAGCUAUGAGUUCUCCACAAAGGUUUUGAGGGACUUUAGCAGUGUGGUCUUCAGGAAGAAUGUGGCAAAACUUGCUAAUAUAGUGUCUGAAGCUGCAAAAGCUAACCAGUCAAUGGACAUACAGGUUGGUCUUUCAUCCAAUGUCACAGAGUAAACAUCAUGAAUUGAUUUUCAAAGCACGUGACCUCCUAAGCAGGACGGGUACAAGAUAAUUUUAAUUGUGGGAAAAUAAUAUAAGUAUAUAACUAAAUUAAUUAAGAUCUAAAAAAACUAAAAGUUAUAAGUGUUUAAUAUAAAGUUAAGAAAUUUACAUAUAUUAUAAAAAGUUACUCUUAAAAAUUCUAUACUUUUUUUUUAUAAUUCACAAUUAUUCCAUACGAGACUUCACAAUUAUUCCAUGUCAUACUUCAUAGGUUAAAAACAUUGUACAAUUUUCUUAUUAUCAAUAUUUUUAAAUAUCUUUUUUCAAUAUAAAUAACCAUAUAAUUAUUUAACAAACAUCCCCAUAAAUAACUAUAAACUAUUUAUUUCAACCAACAAAAACAACCAUAAAUUAUUUAUUUUAUCAAUUUCUUAUAUUUAUUUUUUCAAGUUACAUUGAAAAUUCAACUACAACUAAACAAUAUAAUUAAAUGCAUUUCAAUUCUUGUCAACACAACAACACAUAUUAAAUACAUAUAACUAACAAACAAUUACUUUGGUUCCAAAAGUUCUUAUCCCGACCAUACUUUCACUAUUAACACCUAAUUUUUCUUUUUUAAUUAUGUUUUAUUUAAAAUCAUUUACAUCCUAUUAUCCCAAGAACAACACAUUUUUAUAAUUUUACUUUCCUUAAAUUAAUAUUUAAGAAUUCUAAUUCAAAAUUUAAGAAUUUUACGUAAACUUUGUUAAUCUUUACUUAAACUUGUACAAUCAAAUUUAUAAUAUCUUUUUCAAUAAUGAUAUGAACUUCAAAUGUUAACCAUUUGAAGUUUUUUAUUGUUUUUUUCUUUUAAUAUCAUGAGUGUUCUCUUUGCUCCUUUUCUCUCAUUUGAUUUUCUUUUUAAUUCCUGAGUUAGGUGUAUUCAAAACUCACUAUCUUAUCUAUCUUGCCUUAAAUCAUGGUUUCUCUUUAGGGUUUUAGUGAAGAAGCUAUCAUUUUUUUUUCUCUAAUGUUUUUCAGCAUUGGCUGGCAGCUUCAAGGAGAAGAAGAAGCUGAAUUUCCUAUUUUUUCAGCUUAUUUAUGAACAUACCAUUAAUGAGCCUAUAUGUUAUUUUUGAUCCGAUUAUUAAUAUUCUUGCAUGGCCUUUUAAAAUUUAUAUUAACCUAAAAUUUUAGUCCAAGAUAGAGGAAUGUUUCAAGAGGUUCCUCGUAAACUUUCAGCCCAAUCUAACGAAUGAAUUGAAAGUUAUGCUUGAUAUUAUAAAAUUAAUUAGUAAGUGAUUUUACAUCAAAAUCCAAUUUUUCCUCAAUUAUUGCUAGAACCAUAUCAAUUGUUUUAAUAAGUUCUCAGAGCCAUUUUUUUAUUUUAAAACAUAUUUAUUUUUUCUUUUCAUCAUUUAUUUCAUUUACAUACUUGCUACAGUUUCACGGUAAUGUUACUGAUUUUUAACCGAGACUUACACCAACACUUUUUCGCAUAGUUCUUUCUUAACUUUUAUUUUUCAUUUCCGUUUUAAUUCCUUGAAAUUAUUUUCUAAUCAUCAAAACACAUCCAUUCAAUUUUUUUUUUUAAUUCUUCUAUCCAUCAAAACCAUUACCGGUUUUAGCAUGAUAUAUAUUUCAUUUGAAUUAUUUUUUGGCAGCGUGGGCCAGUGCCCAAAUUGCCCACAUUCUGGAUCCGUCCAUGCUUCUAAGCUUAACUAGUUGUGCAGGACCUGUUUAUGAAAUCAACCCUAGAUUCGAUAUUCAAAGUUGCAUUCGGGGUUGAGCUAGACAGCAUGUGUGGAUCAAAUGAAGAAGGUGUCAAAUUUACCAGUGCUUUUGAUGAUGCAAGUGCAUUGACCCUUUGGCGAUAUGUUGACGUGUUCUGGAAAAUCAAGAGGUUUUUGAAUAUUGGAUCGGAAGCUGCAUUGAAGAAAAACGUCAAAGUGGUUAAUGAUUUUGUGUAUAAACUAAUCAAUAAAAAAAUUGAGCUAAUGCGUAACUCAGAAGAAGUUUCUUCUGUGAGUAUCUCUCCUUGAAACUAUUAUUUCUGAUAGAUUGCAGAGGCAUGAAUUUUAGCUGAUCUUACAUGGAAAAUGCAGUUAAAGAAAGAUGACAUUUUAUCAAGGUUCCUGCAAGUGACGGAGAAUGAUCCAACAUACUUACGGGACAUAAUUCUCAAUUUUGUGAUUGCUGGAAAAGACACAACAGCAGCUGCUCUAUCAUGGUUCAUCUACAUGUUGUGCAAGCAUCCAGCUGUGCAGACAAAGGUUGCACAAGAAGUAAGAGAAGCAACUAAAGUGAAAG
rnacentral:lncRNA from 1 species